AACGAACGCUGGCGGCAGGCCUAACACAUGCAAGUCGAACGCUCCAGCAAUGGAGAGUGGCAGACGGGUGAGUAACGCGUGGGAACCUACCCUUUGGUUCGGAAUAGCCCAGGGAAACUUGGGGUAAUACCGGAUAAGCCCUUCGGGGGAAAGAUUUAUCGCCAAUGGAUGGGCCCGCGUCGGAUUAGCUAGUUGGUGGGGUAACGGCCUACCAAGGCGACGAUCCGUAGCUGGUCUGAGAGGAUGAUCAGCCACACUGGGACUGAGACACGGCCCAGACUCCUACGGGAGGCAGCAGUGGGGAAUAUUGGACAAUGGGCGCAAGCCUGAUCCAACCAUGCCGCGUGAGUGACGAAGGUCUUCGGAUUGUAAAGCUCUUUUGGCGGGGAAGAUAAUGACGGUACCCGCAGAAUAAGCCCCGGCUAACUUCGUGCCAGCCGCCGCAGUAAGAC
rnacentral:rRNA from 1 species